GGAAACCCAAGCCGCAGUCCGCUUGCUGUUUGCCUGCCGGCCUGCAGCCUUGGACGGCUGUGAAAAACUUGUGGCCCUGAGAAGGAGGCCUCCAGAGAAGCUGGGUCUCUGGGGAACGCUUACCGGGUGGUGCGGCCUCAUCUCAGGUUGCGGCCCAUGGAGGAAGCCAAAGCUGCUUUGAAGAGUUUCGUGGUGACAGCCGUGGGCUUAAAAGUGAUAUUUGAUCACUUAGGUCCCUCAGAAGUUCUACAUCGGGUGCAGAAUUUUCAAAAGGAAGGGGUUUGGGAGCGGCAGUCUGAUGGAAAACUGAACCCGAGGACAGGAGCUCUGUUUGCACAGCAGUGUUUUUAUUUUUAUUUGGAUAUUUUGUGGGGAAGAGGGAGCAGUCUUUCCAGCUACUCCAUGGCAUCCAUCAAUGCAAGCAGUAGCAGCUCUUGUCUGCCCUAAUAUGUCCGCAGCUCCACUGGACCUCAGCUGCUGCUGCUGCUGCUAAGUCACUUCAGUCAUGUCCGAUGCUGUGCGACCCCAUAGACGGCACCCCACCAGGCUCCCCCAUCCCUGGGAUUCUCCAGGCAAGAAGGUGGUCAAAGGCCGGGAGCUAGAACCAUGUGAAGGCUUUCACACAUCUCUAACACCUAAACUGAGAGACUCAAAUAACUGAGAGCCAGGACAGUUACAGCCCAUCUGGCAUCUCUCUCUCUCUCUCUGUGAUCUCCCCAUUACCACAGUUCAUGGUACCUGGAUUUCCUAUGAGUCAGCUCAGGAUUUCCAGGGAGUAUGAGUGUGUGUGAAAGAGACACACACAGAGACAGAAAGAACUGGUGAGAGCCACGUAGAAACUGUG
rnacentral:lncRNA from 1 species